GACGAACGCUGGCGGCGUGCCUAAUACAUGCAAGUAGAACGCUGAAGGAGGAGCUUGCUUCUCUGGAUGAGUUGCGAAAGGGUGAGUAACGCGUAGGUAACCUGCCUGGUAGCGGGGGAUAACUAUUGGAAACGAUAGCUAAUACCGCAUAAGAGUAGAUGUUGCAUGACAUUUGCUUAAAAGGUGCAAUUGCAUCACUACCAGAUGGACCUGCGUUGUAUUAGCUAGUUGGUGAGGUAACGGCUCACCAAGGCGACGAUACCUAGCCGACCUGGGAGGGUGAUCGGCCACACUGGGAAUGAGAAACGGCCCAGACUCCUACGGGAGGCAGCAGUAGGGAAUCUUCGGCAAUGGACGGAAGGCUGACCGGGCAACGCCGCGUGAGGGAAGAAGGUUUUCGGAUCGUAAAGCUCUGUUGUAAGAGAAGAACGAGUGUGAGAGUGGAAAGUUCACACUGUGACGGUAUCUUACCAGAAAGGGACGGCUAACUACGUG
rnacentral:rRNA from 1 species